ACACAAACUCCUUCUAGGGUGUAAUGAUUGUACACUGGUUAGUGUUACUUAGUACUGUAUUUCUAAGGAAACCGAGCUUGCUGAUGGGACAGAAGAGGGAGACAAUUUUCAACGUCAUUUUCCUCUAACUGUAUGGUCUCUCUCACAGGUAUACAAGGACCCCAGAACCUUAACACAAUUCUGAGGUGGAAGAAAUGGGGAACACCAGGCCUGGCCUCAUGGAGACCGGGGAGUCAGAACCUGAGCUCUGGCUCCUGGAGCUGCUGUGAGUGAGUGGUGGAAACCUGCCCCCUUAGAGAAGCUGCAGCUGAUCAGCAUCAUGCAAGGGACUGCUGAGAUGGUAGCAUGCUGCACAGGAACCAGCUACAGAAUUUGCAAGUGGAGAAUCCAGUGGGUGGGCCUUCUCCAAUCAGGCCUUAAGAGCAAAGACCAUGGUUUCUCAAAGAAAGAAUUUUCCUCAAGACUGCAACAUAGAGACCUUGCCUGAGUUUCCAGCCUGAUACCCUGAAGAAUUUGGACUCAAGACUGCAAUAUCAGCUCUUUCCUGAAUUUCUAGCCUGCUGGCCUGCCCUACAGAUUUUAGAUCUCCCAG
rnacentral:lncRNA from 1 species